GCAGUCCUUCAUCCGGUCCGGACUAAGCUGUGUGUUCCUAGUCUUUAGAAAGUAGACCGCUUUGAUUCCGGACUGGAAAGUGAAUCCAGCGGCGGGCUGCAGAAGUCCAGCAGCGGUCACAGACACCACUAAGCUCCUCUGUCCCGGUACGUCCAGAAAGUCCCGCAGGACACGCAAGUUCUCCUCGCAGGACACGCACUUCUGCCAGCGGUCGUGUUUAACUUGAAGAGUCCUCAGCACGUAGUCCUCAAUGAAGUCCAGUCGGCGGUCCUCGGCGGGAGAUUCGUCCAUGUCUGCUUUGGGGGCUGCCGGGUCACAAUGUGCGCAUGGAGACCCAGUGUUUGCAUUAACGAGGCUGUUGCCAAGGGAGAUGACUGUUUGUCCGCUCACCUGCUCGACGACACGCUUUGUUAUCUUGAAGACUUCACACUGAAGUUGUGAUAUCCCCAAAAGUCACACGUUGCAACAUGGGCCAAGUUAUUCCUGGCAGAGCUGGCUAACCAAGAACGUCUGGAAGUGCCGCAACUCAUCAAAGUACUGACAAACUGUUGCAAAGGGGAUUUGAGUUGACUUUGUACCAUCUGACCCUUGUCUGGAGAGGCGGAGCCGACGAGCCGACAGCGGGACAGGGCAAAUGGUUGUCCUGACCAAGAUGGCGGCCAGGAGGCGGAGCAUGCAGCAGAGCGGAGAGGCGGCGCACGCCUGGAGCGGCACUGCAGCCAUCAGCGUCAGGUGCGUACACCACACACCUGCGCUCAAUCGUUACAUCUUCUGCUGCAGAGUAAAAUGGGCAAAGGAGGAGCGAUCGUGAUAGAAGUAGUAGGAGACGACUGGACAGACGAUCAGGCGAGCAAGGAGACGAGCGAGAAUAACCGAGAGCCACGGAGCGACCAAGACGAGCACAGGAAGAGGGCGACUGAAAAGGAGCCCGGCGCGAGCAG